rnacentral:rRNA from 1 species
CCCUUAGAUGUCCUGGACUGCACGCGCGCUACACUGAUGUGUCCAGUAAGCACCUAACCUCUUCCGAAAGGAACGGGUAACCUUUGCAAAGCACAUCGUGAUGGGGAUAGAUUAUUGCAAUUAUUAGUCUUGAACGAGGAAUUCCUAGUAAGCACAAGUCAUCAGCUUGUGUUGAUUACGUCCCUGCCCUUUGUACACACCGCCCGUCGCUCCUACCGAUUGAAUGUUCCGGUGAGCUCUUCGGACUGCGCGGUCUGCAGUUUCUGCGUUCCGUGCGGAAAGUUGCGCAAACCUUAACAUUUAGAGGAAGGAGAAGUCGUAACA